CCGGACUAAAACUAUAAAUGACGUAAGGAGUUGCUGCUCUGCGGAUCGCUGACGCUGCCCCUGGCCUCUCUCUGGUCGUUGAUCGCAGGAGCCGUUGCUGUCCGUACGAUGAAGACGUCAAGUCCCUUCAAAAUGCAACCAGUCGUUCAGAUGCUCAAAAAGUUUGAGAAGAUAAGUACAUGUGAUUCAAAAGUAACCAAGCUGUUGUCACGGACGCCUAUUCGUACCAUAACAGACGAUGCGAUCCUCUGCAGCUCGUCGGUGACUUUCGGCCGUGUUCGGCUCCGACUGACCGGUCGUAGGUCCGAUUCGGCUGUAAGCAGGUUGCCAACUCUGACGCAUCUGGCGCGAGACUCGGGCUUUCAGACUCAAACGCACACAGCAAUAAAUCUUAUGGAGAAUCUCUAUUAAUCCAUUUAAAACCUAAAACUGGCUACAUCAAAAGUGUUUGGGCAGUUUGCAAAUCCUGAAGACUAUUUACAAGGUAAUAAAACCGUUAUAUAAAUGUGAAUACGUGUGUAGACUUGUCUCGAAUUGAAAAUCUCACGCCAAUCAGCUGACCAAAGUUGGCAACCCUGCGUAAGUCUGCCCUUUAUUUUAUAUGCAAAAAUGAUCAUAUG